CACCACCUAGGUACCGGGGAAAACAAUCCAACUGGGGGAUCGUUUGACUAGUCCGCAGGAUUUCCAGGUGCUAUCCUGCGUCUAGGGAUGAGCGGUCCAAGCGGGGGACGAAACUCCAAAGCUCCCACACUGAAACAUCCAACGCCAUGUGUAGCUCCCAAACUAUGUCCUACGCGCGCAGACUGGAUCAUCACACACCGGAACAUCCAACGCAUGGUGAUGACCCUAACACUAUACAAAGUCUUUCCAUACGCCGGAACAUCCAACGCCGCAUAUGGAAAGUGUCUCACACGCCGGAACAUCCAACGCCGCGAGUGAGACUAGUAACUGGGGAAGGUACUUACGUAGUGUAAUCACACAACUUCUCUCCAAAAUCACAUUUUUCCACAACAACCUCCAACUACCCCAAUAUCUCGUCUAUAGAGGAUAUAUAAAUAUACCUUCCCACCAUCCAUAUAAAUGCACUCUCAAAAACCCCAAAAUGCCAAACUCACAAUAUAUUGCCAAGUGCUAUACGACCGUCAAAAUCAAUUCAUGAAUAACAUAUAUAAAUUCCAUAAGCCAUUAAAACAUUAUGCAAAAUCUUUCAUCAAUUAAAACCAUGCAUAUGAUUAAAACAAAGUCCACUCACAAGUAUUCCCUCGCUGCUGACCACGUGAGGGUCCUGCUUGCUGCGUACGUGCAGUCGAAACACCUAUUUCGAGAUACGAACCGUUAAUUAAUAUAAAAAUCACGUCUAAGCGGAAAUUACAAAUUAAAA
rnacentral:lncRNA from 1 species